rnacentral:rRNA from 1 species
GGUUUGAUUAUGGCUCAGAUUGAACGCUGGCGGGAUGCUUUACACAUGCAAGUCGAACGGCAGCACGGACUUCGUCUGGUGGCGAGUGGCGAACUGGGUGAGUAAUACGUAUCGGAACGCCUAGUAGCGGGGGAUAACUACGCGAAAGCGUAGCUAAUACUGGCGCUGCCUUCGGGGGAAAGUGGGGGACCUUCGGGCCUCGCACUAUUAGAGCGGCCGAUAUCAGAUUAGCUAGUUGCGGGGCAUCAACGGUCACCGGGGCGACGAUCCGUAGCUGGUUUGAGAGGAUGACCAGCCACACUGGGACUGAGACACGGCCCAGACUCCUACGGGAGUGCGCAGUGGGGAAUUUUGGACAUCGGGGAAACCCGAUCCAGCCAUCCCGCGUGGGGUGCGAUGAAGGCCUUCGCCAGAAGCACUUUUUGGCAGGAGUGUAAAAGAAAACGGCACGGGAUAAUACCCCGUGCAACUGACGGCAGUACCUGCAGAAUAAGCACCGGCUAAUACGCCAGCAGCCGCGGUAAUACGUAGGGUGCAAGCGUUAAUUUGGAAUUACUGGGCGUAAAGCGUGCGCAGGCGGUUCGGAAAGAAAGAUGUGAAACUCUGUGAGCCAUCCUUGGAACUGCAUUUUUAACUACCGAGCUAGAGUGUGUCAGAGGGAGGGGUGGAAUUCGCGUGUAGCAGUGAAAUGCGUAGAUAUGCGGAGGAACACUGAUGGCGAAGGUAGCCUCCUGGGAUAACACUGACGCUCAUGCACGAAAGCGUGGGGAGCAAACAGGAUUAGAUACUCCUGGUAGUCCACGCCCUAAACGAUGUCAACUAGCCGUUGGGGCUUUUGGCCUUGGUACGCAGCUAACGCGUGAAGUUGACCGCCUGGGGAGGCUGGUCAAAGAUUAAAACUCAAAGGAAUUGACGGGGACUGCACAAGCGGUGGAUGAUGUGGAUUAAUUCGGAUGCAACGCGAAAAACCUUACCUACCCUUGACAUGUCUGGAAUCCUGAAGAGAUUUGGGAGUGCUCGCAAGAGAAACCGGAACACAGGUGCUGCAUGAAGUUGUCGUGUCAGCUCGUGUCGUGAGAUGUUGGGUUAAGUCCUGCAACGAGCGCAACCAUUGGCUGGCUAGUUGCUACGAAAGGGCACCUCUAUCGAGACUGCCGGUGACAACCGAGGAAGGUGGGGAUGACGUCAAGUCCUCAUGGCCCUUAUGGGUAGGGGCUUCACACACGUCAUACAAUGGUCGGGACAGAGGGUCGCCAACCCGCGAGGGGGAGCCAAUCCCAGAAACCCGAUCGUAGCCCGGAUCGCAGUCUGCAACUCGACUGCGUGAAGUCGCAACUGCCAGUAAUCGCGGAUCAGCAUGUCGCGGUGAAUACGUUCUGGGUCUUGUACACACCGCCCGUCAUAACAUGGAGUGGGUUUUACCAGAAGCAGUUAGCCUAACCGUAAGGAGGGCGAUUACCACGGUAGGAUUCAUGACUGGGGUGGGUCGUAACAAGGUA